GCGGUGGUAGUUGAGUGGCACAACCUUAGCCUUCCAAGCUAAUGACGCCGGUUCAAUUCCGACCCACCGUUCCA
rnacentral:tRNA from 1 species